rnacentral:misc_RNA from 1 species
GAUGAAGAACGUGGUGAAAUGCGAUAAGUAAUGUGAAUUGCAGAAUUCAGUGAAUCAUCGAAUCUUUGAACGCACAUUGCGCCCGCCAGUAUUCUGGCGGGCAUGCCUGUUCGAGCGUCAUUUCAACCCUCAAGCCCAGCUUGGUGUUGGGGAUCGGCACAGGCGCCCUCGGGCGCCAGCCGUCCCCUAAAUCUAGUGGCGGUCCCGCUGCAGCCUCCUCUGCGUAGUAGUUUUCUCCUCGCAAGGGCAGCUCGGUGGCGACCUCGCCGUAAAACCCCCAACUUCCGAAAGGUUGACCUCGAAUCAGGUAGGAAUACCCGCUGAACUUAAGCAUAUCAAUAAGCGGAGGA